UCCUACGGGAGGCAGCAGUGAGGAAUAUUGGUCAAUGGAGGCAACUCUGAACCAGCCAUGCCGCGUGAAGGAUGACGGCCCUAUGGGUUGUAAACUUCUUUUGAAUAGGAAGAAACUUAUCUACGUGUAGAUAACUGACGGUACUAUUAGAAUAAGGAUCGGCUAACUCCGUGCCAGCAGCCGCGGUAAUACGGAGGAUCCAAGCGUUAUCCGGAUUCAUUGGGUUUAAAGGGUCCGUAGGCGGGUCUUUAAGUCAGUGGUGAAAGCCGACAGCUCAACUGUCGAACUGCCAUUGAUACUGGAGACCUUGAGUACAAAUGAAGUAGGCGGAAUGAGUCAUGUAGCGGUGAAAUGCAUAGAUAUGACUCAGAACACCGAUUGCGAAGGCAGCUUACUAACAUGUAACUGACGCUGAGGGACGAAAGCGUGGGGAGCGAACAGGAUUAGAUACCCUGGUAGUCCACGCCGUAAACGAUGAGUGCUAAGUGUUAGGGGGUUUCCGCCCUUU
rnacentral:rRNA from 1 species